AACGAACGCUGGCGGCGUGGAUUAGGCAUGCAAGUCGAGCGAGAAAAGGUCCGCAAGGGCCUGAGUAAAGCGGCGCAAGGGUGAGUAAUGCCUGGAUAACCUACCCCUGAGAGGGGGAUAACGUCUGGAAACGGACGCUAAUACCCCAUAAGACCACGGGCCUACGAGUCCGUGCUUAAAGAUAGCCUCUGUUUACAAGCCUUCGCUCAGGGAGGGGUUCAGGUCCUACUAGCUAGUUGGUGGGAUAAAAGCUUACCAAGCCGACGAUCUGUAGCUGGUCUGAGAGGACGACCAGCCACACUGGGACUGAGACACGGCCCAGACUCCUACGGGAGGCAGCAGUGGGGAAUUUUGGACAAUGGGCGAAAGCCUGAUCCAGCCAUGCCGCGUGCAGGAUGAAGGCCUUCGGGUUGUAAACUGCUUUUGUACGGAACGAAAGACUCCUUCUAAUAAAGGGGUCCAUGACGGUACCGUAAGAAUAAGACACCGGCUAACUACGUGCCAGCAGCCGCGGUAAGCAACG
rnacentral:rRNA from 1 species